rnacentral:rRNA from 1 species
AAGACCUUGCGCUUUUGGAGCGGCCGAUGCCUGAUUAGCUUGUUGGUAAGGUAAAAGCUUACCAAGGCUUCGAUCAGUAGCUGGUCUGAGAGGACGACCAGCCACACUGGGACUGAGACACGGCCCAGACUCCUACGGGAGGCAGCAGUGGGGAAUUUUGGACAAUGGGGGCAACCCUGAUCCAGCCAUGCCGCGUGAGUGAAGAAGGCCUUCGGGUUGUAAAGCUCUUUCAGCCGGAACGAAGCGGUUACGGUUAAUACCCAUGACUACUGACGGUACCGGAAGAAGAAGCACCGGCUAACUACGUGCCAGCAGCCGCGGUAAUACGUAGGGUGCGAGCGUUAAUCGGAAUUACUGGGCGUAAAGCGUGCGCAGGUGGUUUUGUAAGUCAGAUGUGAAAGCCCCGGGCUCAACCUGGGAACU